UACGUAGGGUGCAAGCGUUGUCCGGAAUUAUUGGGCGUAAAGAGCUCGUAGGCGGUCUGUCGCGUCGGCUGUGAAAACCCGGAGCUCAACUCCGGGCCUGCAGUCGAUACGGGCAGACUGGAGUACUGCAGGGGAGACUGGAAUUCCUGGUGUAGCGGUGAAAUGCGCAGAUAUCAGGAGGAACACCGAUGGCGAAGGCAGGUCUCUGGGCAUUAACUGACGCUGAGGAGCGAAAGCAUGGGGAGCGAACAGG
rnacentral:rRNA from 1 species